rnacentral:rRNA from 1 species
CUACGGGGGGCUGCAGUGGGGAAUAUUGCACAAUGGGCGCAAGGCUGAUGCAGCCAUGCCGCGUGUAUGAAGAAGGCCUUCGGGUUGUAAAGUACUUUCAACGGGGAGGAAGGGAGUAAAGUUAAUACCUUUGCUCAUUGACGUUACCCGCAGAAGAAGCACCGGCUAACUCCGUGCCAGCAGCCGCGGUAAUACGGAGGGUGCAAGCGUUAAUCGGAAUUACUGGGCGUAAAGCGCACGCAGGCGGUUUGUUAAGUCAGAUGUGAAAUCCCCGGGCUCAACCUGGGAACUGCAUCUGAUACUGGCAAGCUUGAGUCUCGUAGAGGGGGGUAGAAUUCCAGGUGUAGCGGUGAAAUGCGUAGAGAUCUGGAGGAAUACCGGUGGCGAAGGCGGCCCCCUGGACGAAGACUGACGCUCAGGUGCGAAAGCGUGGGGAGCAAACAGGAUUAGAUACCCGGGUAGUC